CUAAGGUGGAAGCAUAGAAAAUGACAUUUUCCCCACUGAGAAAAGCAAUUUAAACUGAAGCAGCAGUUGUUAGAGACUAUUUCAGAUUCUAUGGGAUAGAAUAACCACGGAAAAGGAAAGACGUGGCAUUAUCUCAGAACCAUCUGGUUGCGGUACGAAUGAGAAGGGAAAGGAGGUUGUGAGCAUUGGUCACGUAGCCUUGUACUGCUGUUUGCAAACACCAACAAUCAAGUCAUUUCCUGCCAGAAGGUCAGGGAAUAGCUCAGUCUCAGGAAAGAAUGGAGCUUCAAGGAACAAGACCAAGAACCUACAGAGGCUGGAGGGACCCUCUGACAAGAAAACUUUGAAAUACUGAAGUGUGUGAAGCUUCUUGGAAUACAGGCACAAUCUCAGGAUGCA